CCUACGGGAGGCAGCAGUAGGGAAUCUUCCACAAUGGGCGAAAGCCUGAUGGAGCAACGCCGCGUGGGUGAAGAAGGUCUUCGGAUCGUAAAACCCUGUUGUUAGAGAAGAAAGUGCGUGAGAGUAACUGUCCACGUUUCGACGGUAUCUACCCAGAAAGCCCCGGCUCACUACGUGCCAGCAGCCGCGGUAAUACGUAGGUGGCAAGCGUUAUCCGGAUUUAUUGGGCGUAAAGGGAACGCAGGCGGUCUUUUAAGUCUGAUGUGAAAGCCUUCGGCUUAACCGGAGUAGUGCAUUGGAAACUGGGAGACUUGAGUGAAGAAGAGGAGAGUGGAACUCCAUGUGUAGCGGUGAAAUGCGUAGAUAUAUGGAAGAACACCAGUGGCGAAGGCGGGUCUCUGGACUGUAACUGACGCUGAGGUUCGAAGGCGUGGGUAGCGAACAGGAUUAGAUACCCGGGUAGUC
rnacentral:rRNA from 1 species